AACGAACGCUGGCGGCAUGCCUAACACAUGCAAGUCGAACGAGACCUUCGGGUCUAGUGGCGCACGGGUGCGUAACGCGUGGGAACCUGCCCUUAGGUUCGGAAUAACUCCCCGAAAGGGGUGCUAAUACCGGAUAAUGUCUUCGGACCAAAGAUUUAUCGCCUUUGGAUGGGCCCGCGUUGGAUUCGCUAGUUGGUAGGGUAAAAGCCUACCAAGGCGACGAUCCAUAGCUGGUCUGAGAGGAUGAUCAGCCACGCUGGGACUGAGACACGGCCCAGACUCCUACGGGAGGCAGCAGUGGGGAAUAUUGGACAAUGGGCGAAAGCCUGAUCCAGCAAUGCCGCGUGAGUGAUGAAGGCCUUAGGGUUGUAAAGCUCUUUUACCCGGGAUGAUAAUGACAGUACCGGGAGAAUAAGAUCCGGCUAACUCCGUG
rnacentral:rRNA from 1 species